GGGGAAUAUUGCACAAUGGGCGCAAGCCUGAUGCAGCCAUGCCGCGUGUAUGAAGAAGGCCUUCGGGUUGUAAAGUACUUUCAGCGGGGAGGAAGGGAGUAAAGUUAAUACCUUUGCUCAUUGACGUUACCCGCAGAAGAAGCACCGGCUAACUCCGUGCCAGCAGCCGCGGUAAUACGGAGGGUGCAAGCGUUAAUCGGAAUUACUGGGCGUAAAGCGCACGCAGGCGGUUUGUUAAGUCAGAUGUGAAAUCCCCGGGCUCAACCUGGGAACUGCAUCUGAUACUGGCAAGCUUGAGUCUCGUAGAGGGGGGUAGAAUUCCAGGUGUAGCGGUGAAAUGCGUAGAGAUCUGGAGGAAUACCGGUGGCGAAGGCGGCCCCCUGGACGAAGACUGACGCUCAGGUGCGAAAGCGUGGGGGAGCAAACAGGAUUAGAUACCCUGGUAGUCCACACCGUAAACGAUGUCGACUUGGAGGUUGUGCCCUUGAGGCGUGGCUACCGGAGCUAACGCGUUAAGUCGACCGCCUGGGGAGUACGGCCGCAAGGUUAAAACUCAAAGGAAUUG
rnacentral:rRNA from 1 species